rnacentral:rRNA from 2 species
GCCAGUCUGCGUGGAGCCGACCUUGAAAUACCACCCUUUAAUGUUUGAUGUUCUAACGUGGAUCCGUAAUCCGGGUUGCGGACAGUGUCUGGUGGGUAGUUUGACUGGGGCGGUCUCCUCCUAAAGAGUAACGGAGGAGCACGAAGGUUGGCUAAUCCUGGUCGGACAUCAGGAGGUUAGUGCAAUGGCAUAAGCCAGCUUGACUGCGAGCGUGACGGCGCGAGCAGGUGCGAAAGCAGGUCAUAGUGAUCCGGUGGUUCUGAAUGGAAGGGCCAUCGCUCAACGGAUAAAAGGUACUCCGGGGAUAACAGGCUGAUACCGCCCAAGAGUUCAUAUCGACGGCGGUGUUUGGCACCUCGAUGUCGGCUCAUCACAUCCUGGGGCUGAAGUAGGUCCCAAGGGUAUGGCUGUUCGCCAUUUAAAGUGGUACGCGAGCUGGGUUUAGAACGUCGUGAGACAGUUCGGUCCCUAUCUGCCGUGGGCGCUGGAGAACUGAGGGGGGCUGCUCCUAGUACGAGAGGACCGGAGUGGACGCAUCACUGGUGUUCGGGUUGUCAUGCCAAUGGCACUGCCCGGUAGCUAAAUGCGGAAGAGAUAAGUGCUGAAAGCAUCUAAGCACGAAACUUGCCCCGA